rnacentral:rRNA from 1 species
GAUGAACGCUGGCGGCAUGCCUAACACAUGCAAGUCGGACGGGAAGUGGUGUUUUCAGUGGCGGCCGGGGAGGUAACGCGUGAGAACCUGCCCUCUGGAGGGGAACAACAACUGGAAACGGUUGCUAAUACGCCGACGGCCGAGGAGCAAAAGGAGGAAUGGGCCCGAGGGGGUGCUUGCGGCUGAUGGGCUAGGUGGUGAGGUAAGAGCUUAACAAGGCGAUGACCAGUAGGGGGUGCGAGAGGAUGAUGAGCCACACUGGGAGUGAGACACGGCCCAGAGUCCUACGGGAGACGGCGGAGUGGGAAAUUCCGCAAUGGGCGAAAGCCUGACAGCGCAAUGCCGCGUGGAGGUAGAGGGCCCACGGGUCGUGAACUUCUUUUCUAGGAGAAGAGACAAUGACGGUACCUGAGGAAGAAGCAUCGGCUAACUCUGUG